CUUGCUAAGGCCGAUGCGACCGGCGCACGGGUGAGUAACACGUAUCCAACCUACCGGUUAUUCCGGGAUAGCCUUUCGAAAGAAAGAUUAAUACCGGAUAGUAUAACGAGAAGGCAUCUUCUUGUUAUUAAAGAAUUUCGAUAACCGAUGGGGAUGCGUUCCAUUAGUUUGUUGGCGGGGUAACGGCCCACCAAGACAUCGAUGGAUAGGGGUUCUGAGAGGAAGGUCCCCCACAUUGGAACUGAGACACGGUCCAA
rnacentral:rRNA from 1 species